rnacentral:rRNA from 1 species
GCAGUCGAGCGACAGAUAAGGAGCUUGCUCCUUUGACGUUAGCGGCGGACGGGUGAGUAACACGUGGGUAACCUACCUAUAAGACUGGAAUAACUUCGGGAAACCGAAGCUAAUGCCGGAUAACAUGUAGAACCGCAUGGUUCUACAGUGAAAGAUGGCCUUGCUAUCACUUAUAGAUGGACCCGCGCCGUAUUAGCUAGUUGGUAAGGUAACGGCUUACCAAGGCAACGAUACGUAGCCGACCUGAGAGGGUGAUCGGCCACACUGGAACUGAGACACGGUCCAGACUCCUACGGGAGGCAGCAGUAGGGAAUCUUCCGCAAUGGGCGAAAGCCUGACGGAGCAACGCCGCGUGAGUGAUGAAGGUCUUCGGAUCGUAAAGCUCUGUUAUUAGGGAAGAACAAGUGCGUAAGUAACUGUGCGCACCUUGACGGUACCUAAUCAGAAAGCCACGGCUAACUACGUGCCAGCAGCCGCGGUAAUACGUAGGUGGCAAGCGUUAUCCGGAAUUAUUGGGCGUAAAGCGCGCGUAGGCGGUUUCUUAAGUCUGAUGUGAAAGCCCACGGCUCAACCGUGGAGGGUCAUUGGAAACUGGGAGACUUGAGUGCAGAAGAGGAAAGUGGAAUUCCAUGUGUAGCGGUGAAAUGCGCAGAGAUAUGGAGGAACACCAGUGGCGAAGGCGACUUUCUGGUCUGUAACUGACGCUGAUGUGCGAAAGCGUGGGGAUCAAACAGGAUUAGAUACCCUGGUAGUCCACGCCGUAAACGAUGAGUGCUAAGUG